rfam:Anaeromyces robustus strain S4 BCR32scaffold_308, whole genome shotgun sequence.
CCUUCGAUAGCUCAGUUGGUAGAGCGGUUGACUGUAGAGUUAUAUAGUAAUCAACAUGUCACUGGUUCGACUCCGGUUCGAAGGA